UGGGGAAUCUUGCGCAAUGGGCGAAAGCCUGACGCAGCGACGCCGCGUGGAGGAUGAAGCCCUUCGGGGUGUAAACUCCUUUCGACCCGGACGAAACGCCCGAGCAAUCGGGAACUGACGGUACGGGUAGAAGAAGCCCCGGCUAACUACGUGCCAGCAGCCGCGGUAAAACGUAGGGGGCCAGCGUUGCUCGGAAUUACUGGGCGUAAAGGGUCCGUAGGCGGUGCAGCAAGGCCGGAGGGAAAUCCU
rnacentral:rRNA from 1 species